UGGGAGUGGCACCCCCGGGCUCUGCGCCCUUGAACCCCCCAGGGUCACAGUGGCCCCCACGUCACAAAGGGACAUCCCAGCACCCCAACGGCCAUGGAACCACCUGGAACCUUCUGGAACCAGCCUGGGGCACCCCUGGACCCGCAGCCCCCGGUGUGCCCAGAGCCCUGUGAGGGUCUGGCCCCCACUCUGGGGGGUGCAGAGGGGCUCAUUCCCCACCUUUGCAGGGGGUUUGUCCCCCACGUGUGCAGGUGACGGGGCAGGUGACACCACAGAAGGACGGGGCCACCCGGGGGGACCUGGGCACACUCGACAAGUGGCACCACAAGGAGCUCCCGGGGUUCAGCCAGGCCAGAGCCUCGGCAGGAUGCGGGAGAUGCCUCGGGACGGAACAAAAGCCUUCCCAGCAUCCAGUCCCGGGAGACAGACAGGGAACGGCUCCGUCCUGUGUGCCGGGCGUGUCCCGGCCCCGCGCCAACCCCGUCCCUGCCCCCCGCCUGGGCGAGGAGCAUCCCUGGGUCAGGGGGGGACCCAUC